CAGCCGUAAACUAUGCUCGCUAGGUGUCAGGCAUGGCGCGACCGUGUCUGGUGCCGCAGGGAAGCCGUGAAGCGAGCCACCUGGGAAGUACGGCCGCAAGGCUGAAACUUAAAGGAAUUGGCGGGGAGCACAACAACGGGUGGAGCCUGCGGUUUAAUUGGACUCAACGCCGGACAACUCACCGGGGACGACAGCAAUAUGUAGACCAGGCUGAAGACCUUGCCUGAAUCGCUGAGAGGUGGUGCAUGGCGUAGACGUCU
rnacentral:rRNA from 1 species